GAACUCUCACACAGGCCCAAGGCUUGCCCUUUCUGGCUGUCCUUAAGCAGGACCAGGAGGUGCCAGGCUGGAGAAGGAAUGAGGGGUCAGAGAAGACAGGUGGUUUGCAGUCCAGGGAGAGGAAGGAGGAGGCCAGUGCUGCUCCUACUAAUGACGCCUUCUCCCUUGCCUUCUCCCUUCUCUCCUAGUCCAUGACUUGCAGAGCUUUGGCCUUGACAACAUCAACAUGACCCACUACAUCCAGCACCUGUCAUUUGGGGAGGACUAUCCAGGCAUUGUGAACCCCCUGGACCACACCAAUGUCACUGCGCCCCAAGGUACCAGCCCGGGAGGCAGCCCCCAGCCGCAGAAGGCCGGCCGGGCACCCACACCCAGUGCUUUGUUUUCCCCUCAGCCUCCAUGAUGUUCCAGUACUUUGUGAAGGUGGUGCCCACUGUGUACAUGAAGGUGGACGGAGAGGUACUGAGGACAAAUCAGUUCUCUGUGACCAGACAUGAGAAGGUUGCCAAUGGGCUGUUGGGCGACCAAGGCCUUCCCGGAGUCUUCGUCCUCUAUGAGCUCUCGCCCAUGAUGGUGAAGCUGA
rnacentral:sRNA from 1 species